UACGGAGGGGGCUAGCGUUGUUCGGAAUUACUGGGCGUAAAGCGUGCGCAGGCGGUUUUGUAAGUCUGACGUGAAAUCCCCGGGCUCAACCUGGGAAUUGCGUUGGAGACUGCAAGGCUGGAGUCUGGCAGAGGGGGUAGAAUUCCACGUGUAGCAGUGAAAUGCGUAGAGAUGUGGAGGAACACCGAUGGCGAAGGCAGCCCCCCUGGGUCAAGACUGACGCUCAUGCACGAAAGCGUGGGGAGCAAACAGGAUU
rnacentral:rRNA from 1 species